AGCGAACGCUGGCGGCAGGCUUAACACAUGCAAGUCGAGCGCCUGUAGCAAUACAGGAGCGGCAGACGGGUGAGUAACACGUGGGAACGUGCCUUUUGGUUCGGAAUAACUCAGGGAAACUUGAGCUAAUACCGGAUACGUGCGAGAGCAGAAAGAUUUAUCGCCGAAAGAUCGGCCCGCGUCCGAUUAGCUUGUUGGUGAGGUAAUGGCUCACCAAGGCGACGAUCGGUAGCUGGUCUGAGAGGAUGAUCAGCCACACUGGGACUGAGACACGGCCCAGACUCCUACGGGAGGCAGCAGUGGGGAAUAUUGGACAAUGGGCGAAAGCCUGAUCCAGCCAUGCCGCGUGAGUGAUGAAGGCCUUAGGUUGUAAAGCUCUUUUGUCCGGGAAGAUAAUGACGGUACCGG
rnacentral:rRNA from 1 species